GACGAACCGUGCGAACGUUAUUCGGAAUCACUGGGCUUAAAGGGCGCGUAGGCGGGCCGAAAAGUCAGGGGUGAAAUCCUCCAGCCCAACUGGAGAAGCGCCUUUGGUACUGUCGGCCUCGAGGGGUGCAGGGGCAUGCGGAACUCAGGGUGGAGCGGUGAAAUGCGUAGAUAUCCUGAGGAACACCGGUGGCGAAAGCGGCGUGCUGGACACCUUCUGACGCUGAGGCGCGAAAGCCAGGGGAGCG
rnacentral:rRNA from 1 species